rnacentral:tRNA from 1 species
GGAUAGCUCAGUUGGUAGAGCAUGAGACUCUUAAGCUCAGGAUUGUGAGUUCGAGCCCCAUGUUAGAUG